ensembl:misc_RNA tmRNA transfer-messenger RNA
GGGGUCGACUGGUUUUGACAGCAAGUCGAAUUGAAAAGUAAGCACGUCGAGAACUGGGACAAUUCUCGUAAAUAAAAGGUCUCAAACAUUUUACACGGCGAAGGAAACUACGCUCUUGCUGCAUAAUCUGAAUCAUAGUAAGAUUAGCCUCGUCCUACCAGGUAGGAAAGCAGGAUUUACCUCGAAAGCUUUGGUUUAUAGCGGUCGAUUAAGGUGAAUCGUAAAUUUAAACCUAGAUUUCCACAAGCUUCGGGUGGAUUUCGAAAUUAAAGAAGCUAAGCAAAGAGUGGUUGUUCCUGACCUAACUCCGAGACGAAAAUCCAUUCAGGAAAUAAGCGUGUAGAAAGCUCUUUAGUUGCUUGUUUGGACCCGGGUUCGAUUCCCGGCGAUUCCACAA